rnacentral:tRNA from 1 species
UGGGCAGUGGCCAAGCGGCUUAAGGCAGCGGGUUUUGGUCCCGCCAUCCGGGGGUUCGAAUCCUCCCUGCCCAGCCA